GUGCUGUGUUAUAGUUAUACACCUACACCGCGGAUCAGGAGUUCGAACGAAAUAAAAAUAAUGCAGUAAAGCGCUGUAUUGAUGGUGUUUAUAAUGAAUAUUUUGGGGUUGCGAAAAAGAAAUUAGAUAAAAGGAAUCGACACGCAGACGAAAAUAGUGGUUCGUCUAAUUUACAAACUUUACAUAAAUCAGAUAAAUCAAUUUAAUGGUGAAAUAAGAUGAAGACAAAUUACC